AUUUCUAACAAUCGGUUUUCAGGCGAGACCAUAGUUGGUAAGCUUGGGCCGUAAACAUCAGCAUCAAAUAUACCAACUCUAGCACCCAUAUCAGCCAAAGUGUAAGCAAGGUUUACUGCUAUAGUUGAUUUUCCCACACCCCCCUGCAAAUAUUGAUAUAAAAAGGCAUUUAGGACAUGAAAUGCAAAUCAUAGUAAAUAGUUUGGCUCAUAUUUCCAACUAGAAAAACUGAGCUUCAAACCAUAGUUGAAACAAUGUAGUUGGUAUUAUUUUUUCAGAAGCAUUCUUCAAAUGCAUUUAAUGGAAAACAAAUAAAUGAAUGCAUUGUUUCUUUAAGAACAGAAAAUUUGUACAUAUUUAAUGUUCCAUUUAAAAAACCCAAGUGAAAUUUUUCAUGUUAUAUAUAUAUAUACACACAUGUAUAUAUGAGAGAAAAGGUUCUCUUUAACUCAUUUUGACGCCACAGUCUUUAAACAACAGGAAUAAGAACAAAUUUAGGGGGAACGUUGAGAAAAAGCACCCCAUAUUAUGCCAUAUAAACCUAAUAUAACAUGACUAACAUAUGAUAACUCACAAAAAAUAUCAACCUUGCAACUGGACACAGCCACAAUAUUUGAAAUUGUCUGAAGACCUGCUGGAAGUUGCUCUGAAAAUAUAGGUUUUGCCGGUUGUGCAGACAUUGUAACCUUUACAUUCUUGACCCAAGGGAUCAUUGCCACCACUUCAUUCGCCUUUUGCUCAAACUGCCAUUCAUAUAUAGUCCUUAAUAUAUUGUGUCUAUAACACAUCAAACUCAAACGUUACAUGUACGGAUGGGGAAUGAGACAUAAUCAAGCACGAAUCAUUCCUUUAUCUAUAAUGGAAAAUGAAUGCAAUCUCAUUUAUUUUCACUACUGCUUAAUGAAUCUACAGAACAAUAGUCUACCACUCUAACCUACAUCAGCGAUAGCUUAUGUAUAAUAUAACACAGAUUAAUAAGAGAAAGGGACUAAACAUUUCAACUGCUACAUAUAGGUGUAGUUGGAUAGAGCAAUUUGUAGCAGUUGAAAUGUUUAGUCCCCUUUCUCUUAUUAAUGUAUGUUAUAUUAAUUUUGGAUAGAUUUGAUGGCAUUCAUUUUCUUGUCAAAUAUCAUAAAGAAGGAAUAGAAUACCUUGUUGGCGUAUCUUGGCACACUGCUGCACAACGCAUACUCCUAGAUUUUGGAAUAUCUUGGAAACUUCACCUUGAGGAUCAGUCACCACUUCAGGCAUUCCACUAUCUCCGGAAGCAGAUAGCUGCGACAAGACAAUCACUCAAAUAAGCUUGGCUUGUGUCUCAAAUCUUAUUUUGCAUUCAGCGAUAUAGCAAGAAGAUUGAGACUUUGAGAUUGGUCUAAACACAAAACAAUGCUCCUAUAAAAUUUGCUAGUCAGCAAGCACAGGCACGCCGAACUCGAAUGAUAUACUAAUGUCAGACACAUAUCAAACACAGAAAACAGCUGUGGGCUUAAGUAAAAAGGAACUUCUAUGCAUUAGGAAAAUGGAGAAGCUAUGGUUGAAGAGGUUCAUCAGAAAGGUUUUGCAUUCUCUUCCAAAGCCCCUGCCAUGCAAAUUAAGGUGAGCCUAAACAGGUUAUGCUUGGUUCAGGUGGCAGAUUUUAUGCAAUUAGGAGGUGAAUACUGCAUUGCAAUGCCCGCUUUUAUCACCAUCGCAUUAUUGAAAAGAACAAGUAAAAGAUGUAGUAACACAAUUUAACAUGUCAGAGCAUAGCAGAAUGGUUUAAAGCAGAAAAAAGAUAGACAUAACAUGAGACAUACAGUUGGUCUAAUUGGAAGGUCAAACAGAUGAGGUAUUCCAAACUGCUGAACAACCUGAAAACAUGAUCGAACCAUCAAAUAUUUGCAAUAGAUAACGACAGACCUAUGUUGGGCUUAGUGGGGGCAUGUGCAGAUUUUUAAAGCAUGUUGGAUGUUACUCGACUUCUAAAUUUUUAUUGUUGUGAUAAUAUGCUUAUGAUAGGAUUUUUUUGUAUAUUGUUUAUAUUUUGUAAGAAAUGUGUAUCCCCCUGACUGAUAUAAGUAACUAAGAUUAUGCAUAUAUAUAAAAGAGAGUAUUGUCAAAGACCAUAAGAGUAAGUUGACAUUGGAAAAUCAAGUCCAACAAAGUUACUUGUUUUACUUCCUUAAACAAUAUCCCAAGGCACUACUUGCUUAUAUCCCCUAUAAAAGAUAUAUGGGUUGCCUCCAUAGCUUAAAAUCCCUUGGUCCGUCACGGGUAAUAGACACUACUACAUAAUUGUUUCAUAUUAGGUGUCAUAAACACGUCUAUAUUUUCCCCUUGAUUAUGAUGAAGCAAAUAAAAGUUAACAAUCAGAGAUGCUAUCGUACCUGAGAACCUGAACCUCUACCAAAUGGGUAAUAUCGUUUUCCAUCAGCAUCAAAAUGACACAUGUUCUCCACAACAGCAACGCAUGGCACCUUAUGCAUUCAAGGAGAAGAAAUAUAUGUAAGUAUCAACUAUGAAUAGUAUCACAUAUAAAUUAUUCAAAAGUUAUGAAUGGCAAAUACUUUGACAAACCAUUUAUGUUUGUUUGAAAUGUCAAUAGAGGAAGGGUGACAAAGUGUAACACAGUUACUGGUAAUAUGAAAAUGAAAAGAACAAUAAGGAAUAACAAUGUCAUUCAACUGUAGAGGAGUCACCUUAAGUUUAGAAAACAUCUGAACUCCUUUCGCAACAUCAAUGAACGAUAGCUUUUGAGGAGUGGUAACAAUUACAGCAGCAGUUAAUGGGACUAUCUGGAGAUAUAUGCAACCAAAGUCAAAUUAAAUGAGGAUUGACAACUAUAAAAUGUUGGCGAAAAAUUAUAGGAUAAACACUAUCCAGGCUUCACUGAAACAUGACCGUCUGGCCGGUAUUUCAGCUCGAUGUAUAAUUGGGCCGAAUUGGCUGUUCCAAUGCCAAUAUUAGCACAAAAGUAUCUGUGUAAGCCAGAUCACAUCUUGAAGGUAAUUAGGUUUUCGCAAUUUUAGCCCAAUGACAAGUUGAAUAGUAGUCGAGGUCAAGAUGUAAGUGGAACAAAAUAAAUGAAUAAUGAGUGACAAGAAAGCAUGAAAUAUAACAAGUUAAUAGUAGUCCAGGCCAGAACCUGGCAUAAAGUGAGUUGAAUAUCUCCCGUUCCUGGAGGCAUGUCGAUAAUUAGGUAAUCCAGCUCGCCCCUACAUCGUGUAGAACAAAUCAGGAUUAUAUGUGAAGCAGGAACCAUUUGAUCUUUAAUCAAAUUUCCGGGGCAGACCAAAAGUAAAAAUUAAAAUACAAUCUUCAAUACAGACUCUGGAGUAGACCAAUAAACUUGAAUCUUGAAUGCCAUAAAAAUAUCGAUAUUACACAAUAAACACAAUGCAAAAUCCUAUACAAUCAACAGGUCUAUUAAGCUAAUACAACAUAUAAUUUGAUGCAUAUUCUCUGCUUAGUAAAACGAUAUUAUGCUUUUCAGAAAUGUAUACUAUACCACUCAGUAGUAGUCAGAAGCUGGUUAAUGACUCCAGAAACCAUUGGGCCACGCAUAAUUGCUCGUCCUUGUCCAGCAAAUCCGAAAGAGACCAACUUGACUCCCAAGUAUUCAGUUGGAAUUAUGGUUCUCUUCUCUGCAUUCUGCAGCAAGAAUCUGAUCAGUUACAGAUGCAACAUAUCAAUCAACUACAUGUUAAAAAUCAAUUGAUUUAUCAUAUAUUACCAUUUCUAACAAUCGGUUUUCAGGCGAGACCAUAGUUGGUAAGCUUGGGCCGUAAACAUCAGCAUCAAAUAUACCAACUCUAGCACCCAUAUCAGCCAAAGUGUAAGCAAGGUUUACUGCUAUAGUUGAUUUUCCCACACCCCCCUGCAAAUAUUGAUAUAAAAAGGCAUUUAGGACAUGAAAUGCAAAUCAUAGUAAAUAGUUUGGCUCAUAUUUCCAACUAGAAAAACUGAG
rnacentral:lncRNA from 1 species